GAGGUGACAAGCAUGAAGACAAAAGCCAAACUCUAAGGAAGAUGGAGGAGACGGAGUCUACAUUUAUGAUGACAUCUUUGAACACGGAUACCAGGCCUACAACACCAAACUCAAGACUUCCGCUCAUGUACAUCCAGUCUAUCCAUGGCAGCAGUUGUCUUCAAUAUGGAGGAAGAGAGUCACUCAGUCACAUUGGAAACACUGCAACACUGGCAUCUAGGUACGGACUCAUUCCAUGAUAGGCAAACAGAAUAAAGAAAAGGACUGUAGUAUGUACAUCCUGACUAGAAAUAAAAUAACGAUGCUAUUAAGAAAGAUUGCCGAAGUUAAAAUUGGCAUUUGUGUAACUCAAGCCUACUAUGAUUUGGGGGCAAACCCAAGGGGCUAAAGAAGCAUUGGAAUCAGAAAAGGAAGAUUCUAAGAAGACCCUACGUCUUUAAACUUGCAGUAUUGGAGAGCUAAGCAGUGAGAAUGACUGAAAUGGCCUAUUAAAUUAUGUUAACUCUAUGUAGAUGACAGACUUCUGGAAAAUACAGGAAGAGCAAAGUAUAUGAGUUAGGCUAUGAAAGGACACUGAAAAGAAAUUCAAGUUGACGAAACUGUCCAUUUGCUUGCAUAUUGGAAAACAUAGAACUUUAUUUUGGAGACAGUAGUUUCCUGGAGAAUUUCC
rnacentral:lncRNA from 1 species